rnacentral:rRNA from 2 species
CUACGGGAGGCAGCAGUAGGGAAUCUUCCACAAUGGACGAAAGUCUGAUGGAGCAACGCCGCGUGAGUGAUGAAGGUUUUCGGAUCGUAAAACUCUGUUGUUAAAGAAGAACAAGUGUUAGAGUAACUGUUAACACUUUGACGGUAUUUAACCAGAAAGCCACGGCUAACUACGUGCCAGCAGCCGCGGUAAUACGUAGGUGGCAAGCGUUGUCCGGAUUUAUUGGGCGUAAAGCGAGCGCAGGCGGUUUUGUAAGUCUGCUGUGAAAGCCCUCAGCUCAACUGAGGAAGUGCAGUGGAAACUACAAAACUUGAGUACAGAAGAGGAAAGUGGAACUCCAUGUGUAGCGGUGAAAUGCGUAGAUAUAUGGAAGAACACCAGUGGCGAAGGCGGCUUUCUGGUCUGUUACUGACGCUGAGGCUCGAAAGCAUGGGUAGCGAACAGGAUUAGAUACCCUGGUAGUCCAUGCCGUAAACGAUGAAUACUAGGUGUUGGAGGGUUUCCGCCCUUCAGUGCCGCAGCUAACGCAUUAAGUAUUCCGCCUGGGGAGUACGACCGCAAGGUUGAAACUCAAAGGAAUUGACGGGGGCCCCCCCAAGUGGUG